UACGUAGGGUGCAGGCGUUAAUCGGAAUUACUGGGCGUAAAGCGUGCGCAGGCGGUUUCUUAAGUCAGAUGUGAAAGCCCCGGGCUCAACCUGGGAACUGCGUUUGAAACUGGGAGACUGGAGUGUGGCAGAGGGGGGGUGGAAUUCCACGUGUAGCAGUGAAAUGCGUAGAUAUGUGGAGGAACACCGAUGGCGAAGGCAGCCCCCCUGGGUUAACACUGACGCUCAUGCACGAAAGCGUGGGGAGCAAACAGG
rnacentral:rRNA from 1 species